GGGGGCGUAGCUAAGUUGGUAGAUCGUUUCGCUUUUCAUGUGAAAGGUCCCGGGUUCAAGCCCCGGCGCCUCCA